rnacentral:misc_RNA from 1 species
CUGCCCUCCAGCCCGGCUGGGUGUUGGGCGCUGUCCCCCCGGGGACACGCCCCAAAGGCAGUGGCGGCGCCGCGUCGGGUCCUCGAGCGUAUGGGGCUUUGUCACCCGCUCGGGACGGACUCGUCGGCGCUGGUCUUCCUCCAGGCGACCCUUCGGGGCUCGUCUUCCUUC